ACCUGGCCGCCAGAGGCACCCUUCCCCUCAAUGUCAUCCAGAUGUCCCAACAGAAGCCGCUGGCGCGAGAGCGACCCCGCCGGCCCCUCCGGGCCAUGUCGCAGGACAGGGUCCUGUCCCCACAGCGCUGCCCGCCCGAUGAGCUCCGCAUGCCCUACGACCGCAUCCUGUCCGACGAGCGGCUGCUCUCCACCGAGCACCUGCACUCCCAGGACCCGCUGCUGUCGCCAGAGCGGACGGCCUUCCCCGAGCAGUCCCUGUCGCGGGCCAUCUCACACACGGAGGUCUUUGUGUCCACGCCGGUGCUGGACCGCUACCGCAUGACCAAGAUGCACUCCCAUCCCAGUGCCUCCAAUAACUCCUACGCCACCCUGGGCCAGAGCCAGACCGCGGCCAAGCGCCAGGCCUUUGCCUCGCGCAGACACAACACCGUGGAGCAGCUGCACUACAUCCCAGGCCACCACACCUGCUACACAGCCAGCAAGACAGAAGUGACCGUGUGAAAGGCGGGGCAGGCGGGGCAGGGGUCGGGGGAGGCCCGGAGCAGAGCUUCUGGCCCUGGACAGCUCCCUUCCCUCGUCCCCCUCUGUGGAGGUGGGGAUGGGCCACCUUUGCCCAGAAAGCCAUACUCCUGGGACACCGCCGGUGGCCUGGCACAGCGCGCUCAGACCUGGGAUCUACAGCGACCACCCUCACUUUUCCAGAAGAGUCGAAGGGCAGUGGAGUGUGGGGCGAGGCCCCAGUCUCACCCUGCCACUGUCACCAACUCUCUUUCAGUCCCACGUCCCCUCUCUCCUUCCUGGAGGCUCAGCUGCAGGUUCUGACAGCCAAGAGGCCCUGGCCUGGACCUGGCCCGACCUUGGCCGGAAGCCGCCCGGGUUUGAAUUGGCCAGCGGGUGCAGUCAAUGGGCUGACCGAAUAGGCUACUCGGUCUCAUUCACUUACCUAAAACCGCAUCACAGAAAUCUUCUAGUGCCUAAAAACUGCCUGCUCGCUCUCUCAGAACCGGGGAGCUGCUGUGUCCAUAAGCACAAUAACGAUUCUCUUCUGCCUGCUGGAACUCUCUGGUCCCCAGUGAGUGGCCCUUCCUCCGCUAACCCCCUGGGGGCCCCGCCCUGGCCCCGCGCCCCUCCCGCAAGCCCGGGACGUGGGGGGGGGGUUCCCUUCCCUCAGUUGCCUCCCCACUGCUGGGAACCCCGCCCAGUUCCAGCCGGCUGCCCCGCCCACAAGACUCUGCCCCUCCCCCAGCCCUGGGAGUUCUCUGGGGCUUCGCUCUAGUCCUUCCAGAAGAGAGUAGCGAUGGGGUGCAGGGACUUCGGGGUGCCCUCCCUAGCAACCUGAUUAUCUCCACACGUUCUCCAGGCCUCUAGGUCUGAACUAUGACCUGCCACUCAGGCCUGCCUUCCCCUCCCCUGCUCUUCUCCCAAGAGGCUUCUGCCCCUGGCCAGAGAGGGGCGGGGUCGGGAGGGCCACUGUGACGCCCCAGGUUUCAGGGGCUCGCCAUUCCCACCGCCCAGGGCUUUGCCCAUCUCCCAGCAUGCACGUCGGGCAGGACAGAGGCACUGGCUUCCAAAGAGGGGCAGCUCAGCCCCCGGUCAAGGAGGACCCCAGGCUGUGGUUCUGCACCUCACCUGCUCCUUUCUCCCCAUCACUGCCCACCUGCUUGGCCCCUUCUUUCUUUAGAAAGCACUCUCUCCGCCUGGCUCCCCCGCCCCCACCUCCCACGCCUCUCUCCCGGCUGCUGCUUCUUCAGACCAGUGCCUCCUUUGGAUCAAAGGGACAGAGACUCUUUAGCAGACGCAAAUAAUGGUACUCCAGGCUACUGGUCUGGGGGGCUAACUGGGUAGCUUCCCCAGUCGCUCCCCUGCAGGGGGCGCUGGGCCGCCAGGCAGACCCCAUGCCCUCAGCUAUAUUGGGGGGGCUGCCCCUGCAAACCCAUCUCAGCAUCUUCUCUGCCUCCAACCUGGGGGGUGGGCAGGGUGUGAACAGCCUCCUGGAGAACAGACAGUGAAGGACGCGACAUCCUCCCCCCACCAAAUCCUGGAGGGAGAGAAGGAGCGCCCCCAUUCUCAGGGCUAGGGUACCUCCCUGGGCUGGAGCUGGGGGAAUCAGCUUCAGACUAUUGAGCGGAGGUAUGAUACUGAAAAUAUGACUGUCGCCAUAGACUCCAAAAGCAAUGACUUGGAACUGGAAUUUUUGGAUGCCCCAGUUCCCCGUACAACCUGUCUGGCCCUUUAAAAACGGGGUGGGACAGGGAGAACUCCCCAGUGUCAGCCCUGCGGAUUUUUAACCUAAUCCACAGAGAAAUCAGUUGAGUGAUUCCUCUUACUUACUCAAGAAUUCCAAAGCUCUUAUUCCCACUCUACCCACAAGGCUCACCAUCACCCUGAAUCGUGAGGGGAUUGAGGGUGGGGAUGAUGGACACAGCCCUCAGGUCCCCAGUGGGGCGGUGUCACCAGGACUGUGAGGCUGUGAGGACAGGGACAACGCUCUGCUCUCCUUUCUUACAAACACAUAAACCUUCUCAAGGGCUGGUCCCUAAGGGUUUAUGAGAGUUUGGUCCAGAAGGUGAGGCUAAGAGGGUUGGGCUGGGGGAAAUCAACUACUCCUAGAAAGGAAGGUGUGUCUCCCACAGCUGUCCCCCCACCACACACACACACACACACACACACACACACACACACACACACACACACACACACACACAGAGCCCGCUAAUCCAGCUCUCAGCCAGUCCCCUUGAAGGCUGCCUGCUGGUGUGGAGGGGAAAGGACAUGGGUGGGGAGAUUCCUCUCCCCAGGUGUCUACACACAGGUACACCCUAACCAGAAACCUGAUCUCAUUCCAUUCUGAAGCAUCAUCUCAGCACUAAGUUCUCCAGCCCUUGGGGGUGACCUACUCCCCAGCUCUGUGUCCGUCUCAGGGGUGGUUUGAUAGGUUGAGUCCCAAGCAUUUUUCAUCCCAGCGUUCCUGCUGCUCAUUCUAAAAACUCUGGUGUCAGUGGGAUCAAGAAACUCUACCCAACCCUUUACUUCUUUUAAAUGAUUCUCCUGCUUCACCCUUGGGUCUGGAAGGAGAAAGGGAGGGAGGGAAGGAAGGAAAUAAGAGAAAAGUCUACAGACUUGCUCCAAUUCAGUCCUUCCUUUCAAAAUCCAUACACUGUUGUCUUAACUGGGACACAGCAGUAUCUCAUUUAUCAGUCGUCCUAUCCACAUUUGAAGAAUAAGCAAAGCCACAUUACCAGACAAGUUCUUGUCGCAGAUAAGAGAGGGUUCUGGGGCUGGAACCCAGAUGUCCUGACUCCCAGCCCCACGAGGCUGGUGGUCACUACCACACUUGGAAGGGCCGGCCCUUCCUCUACAAUGGAAGUCCCCUCCCCUAGCAAGGGAAACCCAAAGCCCAGAGUUUCCUUCUGCUUGCCUGGCUCUUUGGAUGAGUCUCCAUUGCUCUGCACGGGUUCUCUCCUGCCCUGAAGGUUCUGGCUGGUCCCCUUGGCCUUUGAUGGCAGUGAAGCACUCACAAACCUUCAUGUCCUCCACCUUUCCUGCCUCUGUUCAUCCAGUGAACUCCUGGCUCUGAGAGCAUGUGAGUCACAAUAGGCUUUUCCAAGAAUUCCUUUAACCCCCCAACUGGAUUUCUACCCUAGGACUCCCCAGUGUCUUGGGAGAUGGGUCAGCCUUCUAGAAAGUUCCCACACUUCUCUUAAUUCAAAUGCCUCCUCCCCUCUUUCCACUUCCACACCCCUAAACUGACCUCAGUCAUCUAUACACAUUCGGCCCUUCCUCCCUUCCUCUCGUCUCUGCUCUUUUCUUCCGUUUUCUUCCCUCUUCCCUAAUUUUUGAUCCCUGGUCCUGCUCAACUCUCUGGUUCUGGAAUGCAGAGCUCUCAAUGAAAACGAUCCAGGAAUGAGACACUCUUCAGGUCUCGUUGGCUUCCAUGGCUUAUCCUUCACCUCCUGCCCUUAAGAGAUAAGGGAUGGAAGGUGCCCUGUCAGAGGCAUCGUGGGUCAACGAUCAGCUUUGGUUCCUGUAGCUGGCAUGUCCCUGAAGCCCCUGCCCCAGGGUGCCACUAGCCCAGAGGCUCCUGCUCUGGCCAAAGAUUCAUAUCCUUGAGGGCUCUCGGCCACUGUUCCAUCUCACUUACGCCUGUCCUGCUUGUGUAUGUCACAUAUCCCCCUUUGUCCCCAAAGACUGGAGAAAGAGCCUCAUGACUCUCUAAGCACGGAGAAACUCCCAUUCCAACAACCCCACCACCACACAACCUAUUUCCUUCAGAGAUACUUUGUCUGCCACCAGCCUUCUGGCCUCAGAUUUGUCCACAGGCAGUUGUGGACUUGACCAGAGGUAAUCUGUAAGGGCUGUUGAUGACCUGAACCCUAGAAAGCACCUGCUCCAUUUCCCCCACAUACCUUCUUCCACGAUCCUCCCCAAACCAGAGAAACUUGGCUCUGGAGUAUUUUCAAGAAAGCUUGUUGUGUUUUAAUGAAGUAUUUUUCAGGGUUCCUAUGUUAUUAUUUUUUUAAAAUAAAUGCAGCCUUUUAGUGACAGGUUUGAGAUGAACAAUAUGUCUUCCUGGGCUCUACAUUUGAUUUCAGAAGGCAGCGUGCAUGGCAGGAAGACGCACCGGAAGAAAGCUCUUGAAGAUGCAGCUUUGUCUCUGUCUUGCCAUGUGACAAAGAUGAGCCAGGUUCUUGCUCAGUGCCUCCAUUUCCCAUCUGUAAAGUGAGGAGCUUUGACCAAACAAGUUCUCAAGUUCCAUCCAACUCUUACAUGUAGGGCUUCCAUGCCCACUGGCACCCCUACUCUCAUUGCACCACCUCAACUGGGCCACAUCUACCCCAUUGCACCUGCUCCACGGCAAUAUCCUCAGAUGCCCUAGGCAGUCACCAGACUCCUCCCUAGAGCCUGGGGUGGGCCCCAUGAUCACAGCCAUCCAUGGCUGCUCUCUGUCUGAAGGUAUAAGGGUCUAUCCAGUUUGUGGGUUACCAACUGCGUGUCAUGGAAUCCCCUGUAGACACAUCGCACUCACCCUGGGGGUCUGUGUCCCUGGCGAAGUCUGAAGUUUUCAUUUUGAUGUGGUCCUUCAAGCUGGAGGGAGGUGGUUCUGAUUUCAGAGAGGGGAUGGGCUAGUAGAGAAAGGUUCGGAGAUUGGCCCACAAUGACAUGAAGUCUGUAUUUGAAAGCAGCUUGGAAAUUCAUCCCAAGCCAUAGAAGAAAAUGCCCAGCAGAGGCUUUGUGGGGCAACGGGUGUUAUAUCCCCCUCCAGAACCUGAGUCCUAAAGAGUUUGGAUGCUGGGCUCUGUUCUACCUGGAGGAGGAGGAAGCAUCACUCCCUGGGCUGCCAAGAGGUGGGCACCCACCCCAGCCUAGUACCUUUUUAGCCCCUCCUUGUGACAUUACCGUCCUCCUGAUGAAAGCUUGUGAAGAGGCAAGAAUUGAGCACACAAAUCAAUAUCAUCGAACCCAUCUUGUAAAUCGGCAAACACAUCAACCAUCCAUCAGUCAGAGAAAUGACAUCAUAUGUUUUCUUAAUACCCUCCCUCCUGAGAGAGAGGGAGACCCCUGCUCCACUCCGCCGCCCACUCCUGCUGUGACCCUUGAACGCCACUCCCUGGGAGGACUCCUUCAUUUGCUUCGUAGUGGCAAAUAUUCCUCUAGUUCUAUAACUCAACUAGACAUUUUGUAGUAAAGAAUUCUUGAAAUUCUCUAAUUAAAAAAAAAAAGCAAUUCUUACUGUAAUAUUUUUAGUUUGGGGACACAAUUUCCUAAGGGGGGAUUAAUGAACAUUUUUAUGCAUUAGCCCAAUUUAUGGAUUCCAUGUUUAUUAUAUAUGGUAGUACUGAUGAAAAGUACCUUUCUAUCUGUACCUUUGCAUAGUUUCUUCAUUCCUCAUAACUUAGCUUCAUGAUGAGCAGUGCUCCUGUAAUUGCUGCUUCUGUACAAAUCUCAUCGUUCUACUUACUUGUCAAAGCACAUUCUAUAUGUACUGUAAACGGAUAUCACUUUAGUAAGACUUAGUCUUAAGGAUUUUUCCACUUUUGUCAGUAACGGAUAUUUAUGGAUUAAAAAAAAAUAAAGCCGUUUC
rnacentral:lncRNA from 1 species